CCUACGGGUGGCAGCAGUGGGGGAUAUUGCACAAUGGGGGAAACCCUGAUGCAGCGACGCCGCAUGUGGGAAGACGGUCUUCUGGAUUGUAAACCACUGUCCCCAGGGACGAAAAUGACGGUACCUGGGGAGGAAGCUCCGGCUAACUACGUGCCAGCAGCCGCGGUAAUACGUAGGGAGCAAGCGUUGUCCGGAAUUACUGGGUGGAAAGGGGGCGUAGGCGGGGAUGCAAGUUGGGUGUAAAAACUACCGGCUCAACCGAUAGUCGCACUCAAAACUGCAGCUCUUGAGUGAAGUAGAGGCAGGCGGAAUUCCUAGUGUAGCGGUGAAAUGCGUAGAUAUUAGGAGGAACACCAGUGGCGAAGGCGGACUGCUGGGCUUUUACUGACGCUGAGGCUCGAAAGUGUGGGGAGCAAACAGGAUUAGAUACCCGGGUAGUC
rnacentral:rRNA from 1 species